rnacentral:rRNA from 1 species
GUAGGUGGCAGCGUUGUCCGGAAUUAUUGGGCGUAAAGCGCGCGCAGGCGGUUCUUUAAGUCUGAUGUGAAAGCCCACGGCUCAACCGUGGAGGGUCAUUGGAAACUGGAGAACUUGAGUACAGAAGAGGAAAGCGGAAUUCCACGUGUAGCGGUGAAAUGCGUAGAGAUGUGGAGGAACACCGGUGGCGAAGGCGGCUUUCUGGUCUGUAACUGACGCUGAGGCGCGAAGGCGUGGGGAGCAAACAGGGAUUAGAUACCCUGGUAGUCCACGCCGUAAACGAUGAGUGCUAAGUGUUAGGGGGGUUUCCGCCCCCUUAGUGCUGCAGCUAACGCAUUAAGCGCUCCGCCUGGGGAUACGGCCGCAAGGCUG